UACGGAGGGGGCUAGCGUUGUUCGGAAUUACUGGGCGUAAAGCGCACGUAGGCGGCGAUUUAAGUCAGAGGUGAAAGCCCGGGGCUCAACCCCGGAAGUGCAUUCGAUACUGCGUGGCUAGAGUACUGGAGAGGAUGGUGGAACUCUGGGUGUAGAGGUGAAAUUCGUAGAUAUCCGCAAGAACACCAGUGGCGAAGGCGGCUCACUGGCCCGGUACUGACGCUGAGGUGCGAAAGCGUGGGGAGCAAACAGG
rnacentral:rRNA from 1 species